UAAUUAUUUAAUAAAUUAAUAUUUAAUUAUUGUAAUAUUAGUUUUCUAUUUUAUUCUAUAGUUGUCUAAGGAAUCUCUCGAUUCAGAAUCAAGAGAAUAUAAGCGGAUGUCAUAGAUGACAAAUUGAUUUCUUUCUCUACCUAUAUCAUAUCACUCUAUUUUUUGAGUGCUGUCUAUAAUCUAUAAUGAUAAUGUUUGAUAAAUGAUUGAUAAAUAAAAAUAAAUAAAAAGUGCUCAAUUGAACUUUUUCUUUCAAUUGGUAUUUUUGUUUAUCUUCGUAUCUUUUAUCUUUCAAAAAAUCAAACUUAGGAAAGUACUUUUGCUUUACAAGUAUAUGUAUAAAAAUGUUUAUUUAGUUUCUAUAUGCUUACUAUAACUAGUUAUUUCGGUUUUCUACUAGCAGCUUUAACUAUAACCUCAGUUCUAUUUAUUGGUCUGAGCAAGAUACGACUUAUUUGAAAUAAAUUGAAUGAACAAUUUAUAAAAAAAUUUAUAAAAAGAAAAGGAAGUUUUUCGGCAGUAUUCCAUCUAUUCUCUAGUUCUUUACCGUGUUAAUUUUCAAUUCUUGCUUAUUGAGAUUUUUCUUAUUGAGAUUUUGCUUAUUGAGAUUUAUGGGCGAUAUGAAUUAAUAUUUAAGGAUAGAUAUUACCUUUCUUUCCCCUCUCUUUUUUUUUUCAAAUAAAUUGAAAUGAUUGAAGUUUUUCUAUUUGGAAUCGUCUUAGGUCUAAUUCCUAUUACUUUGGCCGGAUUAUUCAUAACUGCAUAUUUACAAUACAGGCGUGGUGAUCAGUUGGACCUUUAAUUAAUUAAUUAAUUAACACCUUGUUUUUUUGACCUCCUCUUUUCUUUAAUCCACAGGAGGUCAAAUUCAGAGAUUGCUCUUCAAUUUUUUCUGUAUAAAAUUUGAUCUAACAAAACAAGAACAGAAUCACGCUCUGUAGGAUUUGAACCUACGACAUUGGGUUUUGGAGACCCACGUUCUACCGAACUGAACUAAGAGCGCUUUCUUAUCUCAAUCACAAAAAAUCAGACUGUAAGUAAAAAGAUUCUUUUUUUAACUACUCCAAUAUAUCUUGAAUGCCUAUACUAUCAUAUAUAAUAUGAUAAAAAUAAAAGAUUAAGUAUGGCCAAGUUUAAUUGAUCUCAAUUGAUCCCUCGUUAUUACUUAGAGACGAAGUAAUAGGUAGGGAUGACAGGAUUUGAACCCGUGACAUUUUGUACCCAAAACAAACGCUCUACCAAGCUGCGCUACAUCCCUUUCAAUUGGUUUACAAUGUUAUUGUAAAGAAUACCCGUUUUGUUUUCCACAUACUUAUUUCAUUUUCUCCAUUGAUAUACUUUUUCUUUUUUAUCUCAUAUCAUAUAUUAUAUUCAUAUAUUAUAUAAUAAUAUCACUUAUUAUAUCUUAUUAUAUAAUGAUAUACUUACGUAAUAAUAAAAUAUAAUGAUAAACUUACGUAAUAAUAAACUUACGUAAAUUUCGUGAAUGCUCGGGAGAACAUUUUUUCUUUGUUUAAGAAAAGGAAAAUCUUAUCUAGCAAAUUGUUAUACAUUUUAGUUUGAAUUAGAGAUUUUGCUUACAAAACAAAUGCAAGUGUCCUUUAACUACAUAUACGUCUGAUAUAUAUGUAUAAUCAUUAUAUAUUAUUACAAUAAAAUAAACAUUAUUUAUUACAAUAACAAUAAAGAAUAAAGAAGGAGGGUUUUAAAUGCGAGAUCUAAAAACAUAUCUAUCUGUGGCACCAGUAAUAAGUACUCUAUGGUUUGCGUCUUUAGCAGGUCUAUUGAUUGAGAUCAAUCGUUUUUUCCCGGAUGCGUUGACAUUCCCCUUUUUUUCAUUCUAGUUAUCAACGUGCGCGUGCGGGAGGUGAAGAAGAUUAGAGAUACAAUUAAAUAUCCGUGACUACUGCCCCCCUCCUCUUUUUUUAUUUAAUUAGAAUAAGUUAGAAAAGAAAAAAGAAUAAAAGUGGAUUCAACCGCAGUAAAAUAAAAUUCAGAACUUGGGGCGCCAGCUUCAAGUAAAGUAAACUAACUUCAAUUAAAUUAUUAAAUUAAGAUAAGAGAAGGGAAGUAGAAAUUUGAUUAUUGCAACAGUAUUAUACAAGAUGCUUAAAUGAAAUAUUGUACUAUGAUUCUAAUCUAAACUUAUAAUCUAAAUAUAGUUUAGAAUCUUUGUAUUACUUAUUAUUACUAUAUUAGUUGCAAUGAAAUCUUUCGAAAUUGGAUUUCGAGUUAGCAACUUAUAUUUUUUUCAUUCCUUUCUUCUUCACUUCGGAUCGAAAAAUCGCCAACUCAGCUCUUUUUUUAUUAUUAUUUAAUUUAGAGUACUUUCUCGAUGCCAACGCAACUUAUCCUUUUGGAGCAUCUUCUGGAAUCGUAUAACUGUCAAAAGUGAGUGACUGUUCAUCGGAACUGUUAUAGUCGGAAUACUCAUAAGUCCGAUACCAGCAUAGACACCUGAAUAAACAAAGGCUUCAAGCUUGACAUAGGCCCAAGCGAACUCUUAUACAGUAAAGUUGUUAUUCUUAAGUUGGCAUAGUCACAAUUAAGCCAAUGUUGUAAUUCUUGAGGAUGAUUCUUUGGGGGAAGAGGGUAUUUCCAUCGCAAAGGAUUCAGAUUCAAUCCAGCCACAGGUGCUGCGUUCUGUUAGGCUAUAGAUUACAAGAACAAAUGUUGUUCGUAGAUAAAGCUGAUUCGGAAUUGUCUUUCAUUUCAGGGCAUAACUUGUAUCCAUGCGCUUCAUAUUCGGUUAGAGUUUGCUCCAAGAAAUAUAGCCAUCCCUACCCCCUCACGUCAAUCCCACGAGCCUCUUAUUUAUUCUCAUUCGAUCACGAUGGCGGGGGAACAAGUCAAAAUAGAGGUCUUUCAUAUCUUUCGAGAUCCACCCUACAAUAUGGGGUUAAAAAGCCGCGUUGCAUUAGUAAAGUAAAGAAAUCCUUCCAUCAAAAUUCCAUAUUCCAUAAAGGAUAAAGUAAAUCCGCGGUUCCUAAUGGAAUUGGUAACAAAGCAACCUUUUACUUAACUUAGAAAGACAAACAUCUGGGCAAGGGAAAGCGCAGAGACAGGAUUUACUUUUUGAGUUAAGUAAAGAUGACAAAGACAGUUCAUGUUGACUCACUGAAAGGAUCCGUUCGUUGGCGAGGACUUGGAGGAUUUCUCGGAUUGGACUUGGACUUUCCUUUAUGUUGAAAUCCCGUAAAAAAGAGUUGCCAAAGAGGCCUCUCUAAAUCGUGGGGCCCGAAACAGUGUUGAUAUGGCCGGUAGUGGUUUGAUCUUGCAAGAUCAAACCAAGAAUAGCCUUUGGCUGGGAAAGCAAUUCUUGCUCUCCGGAAGACUACAAUCACCGGUUGGGUUGGUCCAACCAAGAAAAACAUGGGAGUCUUUGGCGUCAAAGUGCUUAUCUUCUCUUACGAUAUUUCUAUUUUAUUCAAGUCCAAUCAUGUUAAUUUUCAUUGCAUUUAAAAAAAAAAACCAAAGAGAGAGAAAAUAGUUUCAUAAGUCGAUUUUUCUUUAAUUUUUGCCAACUCUAAUAAGGUUUAGAUGAUCUAAUAAUACCAAAGAAUUUUAUUUCUUGCUAUUUAUGUGACAAGAUUAAUGUUGCAGCAAUUGAUUUUUAUUUAAAAUUCAAUGUAUAAACUAUUGAUAGUGUUAAUAAAUUUGAACAAGAAUUGUUAAUGCGGUAAUUCUUAUUGCACUAAAGUGUAAAAAAAAAAAAAAAAAACUACAUAACCUUUUGAAUUAAAAGGUUAAAUGAUAGGAUCAAAUUUUACACUUUCUCUAUUGAAGAGCAAUUCAAAUUUAAAAAUAAAGAUGUGAACAGAAAAGAUAAUAUUUAGAGAAAUGGUAGGAUAAAUAUAAUGCAAACAUCUAGGAGCAAUGCAUAAGCUUCAUUUGAAAACAGAAAGCAAAUUUCAUAUAAUUUUAUAGCCAUGGCUCUACACUUAUUAGAACAUGAAGCGAAAGUGUGGAGAAAACUAACAAGCCAUGCAGUUAGAAACACAAAAGAAAUCAACAGCAUCUUCUUGGGAUGCAAAGGUGGCCAGUCAUGUGCCAACUUUCACCUCCAUCAGGAUAUGCAUAAGGGCAUGACGGGGUGUAGGAAUCCUUUAGAAGCAGGUUCCAUGUUGCAUUUGGAUCCUCAGUUGAGAACAUGGUCCAAGUAGGAGUGGAAUUCUCAUAUCUACUAUGUGUGAUGCGAUUGAACUUCUUCACAUCCUUGUUCUUAUUUAUGUCAUCAGGGUCAAUAUCGACAGUGAAUACAUCUCCAUAAGGCCUCACGGAAUGCAAGAAGAGAGGUAAAGAAAUUGGAUCAGCAGACACUGCAGCAAGAUCCGAAGUCACAGCAAUGCUCAUUCCAUCUGGACUGAAAAAUGGAUGGUUCACAUGUCCUGCAAGAUCAUCUCCACCUUUUAUCACUCUUAUCACCACGGAAGGAUCGUUCACCUUCACCAAAAACACUGCAAAAUAUCCUGGAUCGAGACCAUUAUCUGUUUCUGGUGCAUCUUUAGGCUUAUCGCGGGUUGACGAGAAUACUAUCCAAUCUCCCCUUGGAGACCAUUGGCAAUGUGUGUCCGUCCAAGGUCCAUUUGUAAGCCUCGUUACUUUUCCAUCCCCGUACUCCCCCACUUGUGCAUCCUCCAUUAUAUAUAGAUUCUUAUAUUUCUUAUCUCCUCCAUCUCUUGUGGAUCGAAAAACUAAUUUUGUUCCUGUUAAAACUCUCAACCCCAAAAUUAGAAACUAUAUUAUAAUCAAGACCCUUUUGUCAUCCAAACAAUUAAAGUGAAUAAUUCUUAGUAAACUAAGAGUUGGUAAACAAUUCUAGUGUAUAAGAAUGGCUUUUACACAAGGAACAACUAAUUAGGAAAAGCUAGUUACCAUCUGGACUGGUGGACGGGAAAGCAUUAUUAAAUCCUUUGGUGAGUUGUCGACGCCGCCGGGCACCACUAGCCACAUUGGGGAUGGCGCAGAUUUGCAAUGUCUGGCCAGCGUUAAAAGAAGGUCCCAUGCAUACAUAGAGUGUAUCAUCUUGUGGAUUUUGGCUCCAAACUGGUGAGAAGAUAUUGUCUGGGCCUUUCGUCUAGAUAAAACAUCAAUUAUAUACCGAUAUAAAGUACGAAAACAAUAUUAAUUCUUGUAAUAUGUAGCAUACCUCGAAAACAAUGCGCAAUCCAUCGCUAUCAGCUACCCACACGGCUUUGAACUCAUUGUCAACGAAUGCAAGCUUGGAGCCAUCUUUGGAAAAUGUUGGAAAUACACCUGACACCCUAAACAGUCCUACAUCUGGAUGUGGUGAGUUGAGCUUAUGGAAAUGUCUUUGGAUAUCAUCUCCAUGCUGCGCAAUUAACAAUCGGCUUAGAAUUCGUUAAAACAAUUUGUAAUUAAAAGAGCACAACGCAUUCAUUAGCGUAAUACGUACGUUGAGAAGGUCGCUUUUGCAACGAUGGUAACCUAUGCGCUUCCCACCAUCUACUACAAAGGGGUUGUAAUGGUCAGCCUUUGGUCUAGUUUUCUGAGUGAUUUGUAUGGGUUGUUGUGGUGCUGUUGAAUCAAAAAUCUCAAUGUGCCGAUACUGUGCUUCUACGCGUAUGUCACUGAACUUUGAUUUCUGACGGAUAGUUGCCACCGCCACUUUGGUGGAAUUGAUGGCUGCCGGAGUUAUGGCAUCAAUUCCAUCUGGAGUCACACGAAGGGUUUCUGAUGUUUGACCAUUGCUAAUGUCUGCUCGGAAUACACUCCAGAAUUCCCCAACCUUUCGAUGGAAAAAUAUAACGUUGUCACUUCCCCAUGUUGGCCAUCCACCAUUUUUUAUAACUUUCAUGCGUCCUAAGGGUUGCUUCUCUACGUUCAUCACAUGAAUGUCAGUCUGUAGAUCUUCAAUCUCGCCAUUCCAACCCUUUCCUUGGAAUGACGCCACUGCUACUUUUCUUCCAGAUGGUGAUACAGAUGGGCUUAAAUCAUUUACUCCUGUUGAUCAAGCAGAAUAAGUGGAGAAAUCAAAUCAAAUAUUUGUAUUGCAUUUUUGUUGUUAAACUUUAACCGCUAAGUUUGAUUGUAUUAUUAUUAGUCUUGAAAUUUAUUUUUCUCCAAAAAUUUUAAUUUUUUUCCACUUGUACCUUUUCUUUUUUAUAAUUUUAUAAUAUAGCAAAUCAACAUGAAAAGCUAAAUAUCAUCUAAUGAUGAUAGUAAAUUAUAUUUUAUUUAAAACAAAAGUUAAUUACUUUAUAAUAUAUUUUCUUGUUAGAAGAAAGACAAAAACAAAAUUGUGAACUGAUCAUUAGAAUUUGGACAUAACGAGGUUAGCGCUGGCAUUUUUAAUUAGUAAAACCUACAGAUCACUUUAUGAGCUCAACUUGCAAGGUUUUUUGAAACUAAAAGUGCAUUGAAUUCUUUUAGCCAUCAUUUGGAGAAAUCUAUAUUUCCUAUAUUUGUUUACUAACAAAAUGAAAGUAGACUUCAUUAAAAAAAAUAUUAAAUCCUAUAAAUGUUUUUAAUAAUAGAAAUUAAUAAGUUGGAAAAGUAACCUGACGGAGUGAGGCGGUCAGUCUUUCCGGUCUUAAGAUUAGUUUUAUAAACGACAGUCCAAGGCUGACGACGAUCCUUUGACGGGUCCUUGGUGGUGACAUAUAUAAGAGAGCAAUCGGCAGUACGACUACCAACCUUAUAACCACCGGCAAUGCAACCACUGUCUUCCAUACGGACACCAUCGAAUGUGCCAUAGACAUCAGCGAAACUGAAGACUUUAACACUGGGUGGAUUGUCGUUAAAGCGAAGAGCAAUAUGAAGCGUCUCAAGGUUGUUGUCUCGUUCGGAUACGAAAAUCAAGCCUGAGAGACGACCCGAGUCAACAUCAGAUCCUUUGGCUUCGGAAGCCAACUUUGGGCGCUUGAUAAUGGUCUUGAGAGCUUCAGGUGGAAUGAGUUGGCAGUUGUAAUUGUAGGACAAUCCAUCAGUCAUGUGUAGCUCAUCCUGCCUUGACGUUGGUGGAACCGAACAGGAGAAUAUGUCCAGUGGCACAGGUGGUCUGUAGGUUGCAAAGAAGGCAAUGCUACCUCUCUUCUCUGCCAUCUACAAGGAUUGUUUUCCUUUGUGUUUAUAUUUUCUUUAUGCUGGUUUCACUGUUGAGAGUAACUAUACACUCCAGGCUAUGAAGAGAUUGGUAUAAAAAGGGGUAUGGAUACGUAAUCGGACAGGUUAGAGGAUCAGGAUGUGAAAACGCGCUGGUCAAUCCAUUCAGAUCGGUGAAGGAGGAGCAUGUGAUCACGUUUUUCAUUUUGUUGUUUUUAAAUACAUGUAUUUACGUAUUCCCAUACAAUAAACAAUUUUCUUUUGAUCUGAUACAAUAAUAAUAUUGGUGGACUCAGAUCUCAGUAACCCAAAUCUUAACCACGUGCAAUAAAAUACUAUUUUUAUUUGAUCCAUGUCUUGAUCUAUGGGACAAUGUCAUUUAUGGCGUUAAUACAAAAUAUAAGUAUUCUUUUCUUUGAUAUAAUCACGUGUCUGUCCUGAUGUAAAUAAAUGGGUACUUUUAUUUGAAAGAACUGAACUCAACCGCAAAUUCCGGAUAUGUAAUCAUAGUUAGAUGAGGUUCGUUUUUUUCAGUAAAUGCAUUCGAUUUCAGAAUUAGAGAUGAUUCGUUUCUUCAAUAUAUGCACUGGACUCGAUGAUUUUUUAUAAGUAAUUUAUAAGCUUUUUUCUAUCGGAAAUGAAGUUCUGAUAAUAUUAGAAUAUUAUAUCUAAAACACCAAAGCAAAAGAAUAAGAAGAUGAACAGUAGAAAAAAUAGUUACUCAUUAAUGUGUUUGAUGGAUAAAUUUCACUGCAGAUAAUAAUUAUAUAUUUCAGUGUAUUUUUUAUUUUUUAAAUAUAAAAUAUUUUCAAAUUAACUCUAUAUUAUAUAUGAAGAGUCAAAUUUCACCCUCUACUCUAUAUUUAAAAAAUACGCUCUAAAUGUUUAUGCAUUUAAUUUAGUUGAAAAUUUUACUAGAAUAUUAUUAUCGCACUCUAUCAUUAUAAGUUAUUUUUUAAUUAUAGACUAUUAACUACUAUUAUUUUAAAUAAUUUAUUUAUUUUAUAUAUUCUUCUACUAAUAUAUAUUAUUAAUGAAUUUAUAUAUAAUUUUUAAUUAUUUAUAUAAAUUAAAAUUUUAUAUUUUAAUUUUAUAAUUGUUAAGUAACAUUAAUUAAAUUUUAAAAAUAAAUAAAUAAAUUUAAUAAAUAAAAAUAAUAUAUUUAAUUGAUAAAUAAUUAAGUACUAUAUAUUUACUAAUUUAGUAUUUAAUUAUGUCAAUAAAUUAUUAAAAUAAAAAUAAAAUUUAUAUUUAUAAAUUUAUAUGGCAUUGUAAAUCUGUGAUAUAUUCAAAUCGCUCAUUAAUUAAUAUUUAUAAUUUUUAUUUUUUUAAAAAUAAAAAUAUUAAUAGAAAAAUAUUUUUAAAAAUUCUCUCAACUAGUUAAAAGAAAAAAACACAAAACCGACGUGGUUGGAUAAGGAUUGAUUUGAAUAAUAGAGGUUGAUGCGAUCUGUAAUGAGCAUGAGUCGACAAUAUUGAUGACUUCCAAAUUGACUUCAUUAACAAAAGAUUUCAGGGAACAAAUACAUGGCACGUUCUCCAAACUGCACUAAAAUUUUAUACAUUCAAUCAUUUUCUUUUGAAAUAUGAUAAUUGAUACACUAAAUUAUUUCUUUCUAAAAUAUUGAUAAUUAGAAAAUUAGUUUAUAUAUUUACUAAAUUUUUAAGAAUUUACGAUUUAAUAUAUAAAUUUAAUAAAUAUUUUAUAUUAGUAUAUAAAGCGGACAAUAACAUAUUAUAAAUUAUCAAUAUUAGUUUUUUUUAGAGAGAAUUAAAAAGAUGAUGUACAAAUUUAUUGAAAUUUAAUUAUUAAAUUUUUAAAUUUUUAAAAAUUAAAAUUUAAUUAAUAGUUAUUAAUAUUUGAGUGCAUCCAAUCAAUCACUAUAUAAAAAUACUAAUGUAAACAAACUAAAUCUAAUUAUGUUUUCAUAGUGAAAAAAAUGUCUAUAUUUAAAAAAGUAAAUGUUUCAGUUAAAUAUUAUAAAGCAUAAAGAUAAAUAAAAAAUAAAUAGUAUACAUACCAUAAGCAGAAGUAUUAGUAGUUAAUAAUAUAAUUAAUAUUAUCAUUUCCAGUAAUAAUCGAAUUUAUUUUUAGAUGUUUUGUGAUGAUAGAUUAAAGAAGACAAUGUAUUAUUCUAUGUUAAAAUUUCUUUCUGAAAAGAUAUAUAAGAAUGAUAAUAAUAGUGAGGGAGGUAUACUACUCUAUUAGAAGUAGAUAUUUGGCCUUUUAUUCUUUUUAAAAUACUAAAUUGAUAAUAUAUUUUAAAAUUUCAAAUCUACAACUGUUAUUGUUGACUUGUUAUAUACAUUAUAUAAAUAUCUACUAGAUUUAAAAGUUUAAAUACUUAAUUGUUACAUAUCUUUUUUCUUAUAUAUAUAUAUAUAUAUAUAUAUAUAUAUAUAUAUAUAUUCAGUUUCAUACACUUCAAUAUUAAUAAUUUCUAACCGCACACAUUUAAUUUAAUUUAUAAUAAUUUAAAUACUUAAUUAUUAAAUUCUAAUAAAUUCACACACUAUUUUUAUAAUUAUUUCUUUGAUAUAUGUUAACUUUUAAACAACUUCUAAUUUAAAUUAUUGUUCUUUAAAGAAAAUAUAGUAUUUGGGGCAUUACUUAUCCUAACAGGAUAAUAAAAAUUCCCAUAAAACAAUUUCACUUCCAUUAAGGUUAACAUUACGCUUUAAUAAGAGGUAUAAUCUUAUUUUGUGCUCAUAUAAUAAGAAGUUUGAGGAUCAAAUUAUAUUUUUUUAUCAAUUUAGUUCUUUAAUCGUAUUGACUUUCAAAAUGGAAGAAAAUUUUAGUGCAAUAAAUAAAAUAUAGGAAAUUUGUAUAUUAUAUAAAAAUCAAGGGGCAAAUAGUAUAAAACCAAACCUAAUUAAUGAUUACCUAACAUAAAUUUUGACAGAAGGAGUUUUUAAAAUAAAACUAUAAAAUAGAAGAAAGAAAAAAAAAUAUUUUUCAAAUAUUAGAAGGCAACUAGUAUAAUAUUAAAAAAUACAAAAGGUAAAUAGUAAUUACCCAAUUAGCUAAUAUUUCUCCUUUAUAUACAUCUUACUGAACAAAGGGUCUCAAGUCAUAAGAUGUUUGCUUUUCAAAAUUUGAAAAAGGUGAUAAAUGAAACAAUUUGUCUACUACGUCUGACAUGAUUGGUACACUUUUCAUACGUAGUAGGGGUAUCCACAUUACCUCUACCUUCUAGAAUAUUUUGUUUUUCUUGUUAGACUUUGUUAUCUAUAAUAAUAAUCAAUAAAUAAUCCAUAAAAACACAUACAAAUCAUAGAUAUCAAAACUCAUAUUGAUCAUCAAAUCCUAAUAUCAAAACUAUCAUGUCAUAAUUAUUAAGAAAGUUUAACCAUAAAUAUUUGUCUCCAUUAUAGCAAUCAAAUCUUUUGUAGAAUGAAUGAUGAACGAGUGCUUGAAUCAACAAGUAUAGCUUUCCUCAGUCAAAUCUCUGAAUUCUUUAAGAUUUUUUGUCUUUUGUGUCUGAUGGGAAGAAAAUAGAAGUUGUCGUAUGACUUGACAUAUUGGAAACCAUAACUUAGGAGUCUUUAUAUACUAAUAUAAUAUGAUCCAAUUAAGCCUAUAUCAGUUAGAAAACGGUAUCCACCCAUUUAAUCCAUACCAAAAUCUAGAAGUAUAUAGGUUCUAUAUAAAAGAAUCAUUUUAAAUAAGCCCACUAAUAAAACAACUAUUAAUAUAAUUGUUAUUAAAUAUUUAAGCCUACAUAAUAUAGAUCAAAUAACCUAACAAUCUCUCGCUUGGGCUACAUAUGAAACUUGAAACAAUUAUAUCAAAUGAAAUUUUUAUGUAUACACUAUCUUGUUAUUUCUUUAGACUUCUCCUUAGGUAUAAUCUGGUUCAUUUUCUAUAUUAAUAUGAGAUCAUGGUGGCUUUCAUCAUAUAUAGGUGUGACUAAACCUCCCAUGCUCACCAUAUUAAUAUAUUCAAUAACAUAGAUCAAGUAUGGAUAAGUGGCAUGGAAAUUACAUACAAUGUAAUCUCAAAAUAUGCCUAUUUUUAACUGGUUCUACUUUAUUCUUUAUAGAGAUCAAUCCAUAAUCACAAUCAAAUUCAAAGGUAUAAAAAUGAAAUGAAUCAUAAACUUUAUUAUGCAUAAAUAUAACCAUUGAACAUAUAUCAAAUCAUGGAACAUCCAAAAUUAAAACUCUCACUAAAUCAAGGUAUCACUAAAUAUGCCUACACACAUAUGAGCGAUGUGCUCAUUAAAGACCUUAGGUGGCAAACCCUUAGUCAACGGAUCUGCUAUCAUAAUGUUUGUCCCUAUAUGUUCUAUAUAAAUUUGACCACUUUAAACUCUCUCUUUAACAGAUAGAAACUUGAUGUCAAUAUAUUUUAACUUUACAGAGUUUCUAUUGUUAUUGGAAUAUAAAACUGCAGAUUUAUUAUCACAUAAUAACCUUAAAAGCCUUUCAAUGCCAUUAACUACACGCAGCCCUGUGAUAAGAUUUUGCAGCCAUAUCUCAUGAUUAGAUGCCUCAAAACAAGCUAUGAAUUCUGCAGUCAUUGUUGAAGUAGUUAUAAGUGUCUAUUUAAACUUUUUCAAGAUGUAGUUCCUCCAGCCAACAUAAAAACAUAGCCCAAAGUGGAUCAUUUACUAUCUUGGCAUCCCGCAGAAUUGGAAUUAGAAUACUCAAUAAUCUCCAAACUAUCCAAUCUUUUAUAUGUUAGCAUGAAGUCCUUUGUUCUCUGUAAAUUCCACAUAACUCAUUUGGGUGCUUUCUGAUGAUCCAUUCCUGGGUUACUUAGAUAUUUGCCCAACAAUCCCACUAUAAAUGCUAUAUCGGAACAAGUACAAACUUGAGCAUACAUUAGACUUUUAAUUGCCAAAGCAUAGGGAAUCUCUUGUAUCUCCUUUAUUUCAAGGUCACUCUUGGGCAUUGCUUGAGACUAAACUUAUCUCUUUUAGCUAUAUGUGUAUCUUCUAGCGAGCAAUCUUUCAUGAUGAAUCUACUUAGCACCUUCUAGAUAUAGCCCUCUUGUGAUAGGUCAAGAAUACCUUGAGAGCGGUCUUACACUAUUUGUAUGCCUAAAAUAAAAGAGGUGUCCCAAAGAUCCUUCAUCUCAAAAUUCUUAGUGAGAAAUUUCUUAGUUUCGUGCAAUAAGCCUAUAUCAUUACUAGCCGGUAGUAUUUCAUCAACAUACAAGAUAAGGAAGAUAAACCUACUCAAUUGAACUUGUGAUAUACAUUAUCAUCAACUAUGUUUACCUUAAGAUUUGUGAUACCAUUGGCGAGAAGCCUGUUUGAGACCAUAGUUGGAUUUCUUUAAUUUACAAAUAGAAUUUGAAUCUUUGGAUUCAAAUUUUUUUGGUUAAAUCAUAUAAAUCGUUUUAUCAAUGUUUGCAUUAAAAAAUGAUUUCUUUACAUCCAUCUAAUAUAACUCUAAAUUAAAAAGAGCUAUAAGUGUCAUUAUUAUCCUAAAAGAGUCUUUUGAUGAAACUGGAGAAAAUGUCUCUUUAUAAUCAAUGUCUUCCCUUUGAGUGAAUCCUUUACCGACUAGACGAGCCUUAUAUCAUUCGACAUUACCUCUUGAAUCCCAUUUGGUUUUAAAUAUCCAUUUACAACCAAUGGGUUUCACGCCUUUAGGCAAUUCAAUAAGAUCCCAAAUAUCAUUUUCUUUCAUAGAUUUCAUCUCCUAUUGCAUGGCAUUGAUCCAAUGUUGAGAAUUGAAACUUUGAAAAGCUUUGCGAAGGUUGGUUGGAUCAUCUUCCGCUAAGACUGUAGAAUCUUCUCUUUCCAAGAGGAAUACGUAAUAAUCAUCUGGAAUCGCAUUCCAUCUUUCUCUAGUUGACCUCCUUAAUGCAUUUCUUAAGAUUGUUGAAUUUGCUCCAUAGGAAGAACUUCAUUGUUGUCUUGAACUGGAGUUGCUUCUUGAUUAAUGUCAGGAAUUAUUGUCUGAUCAAUAUUAAUAAUGGGAAAAGAGAGGAAUUUCUCUUCUUUAAAGAUAACUUUUUAUCAAAAGAUACAUUCCUUCAUCCUUCCUCACAAACUCUACAUCCUCAAAAAAUCUUUCAUUUCCUAUUUCAAAGAAAGAUCGGGUAGUGGGAUCAUAAAACUUAAAAUUCUCAAGAGCAUUUUGCAUAUCCCACAAAGUAGCAACUAACUGUCUUAGAGUCCAGUUUCUUUUCAUUAGGCCCAUAAGGUCUUACUUCAACUGGACAUCCCCAAAUGUGUAAGUGCUUUCUACUAGGCUUUUUACUAGUCCAUAUUUCAUAUGGGGUUUUAGCUACUACUUUACUGGGUACUCUAUUAAGGAUAUAUAUUGUAUUCUUUAGUGCUUCUUCCCAAAUAGAUUUAGGUAAAGAAGAAUGGUUGAUCAUACUUCUUACAAUGUCUUUAAGCGUCCUGUUUCAUAUUUUAGCAACACCAUUCAUAAUAGGUUGCCCAACAUAGUGUGCUAUAGGACUAUAUCGCAUUCUUUUAGGAAGUUAUCAAAGGGUCCUAGGCGUUGCUCACCUGAUCCAUCAUAUCUUUCUUAGUAUUCUCCCCCACGGUCAGAUUUGACAGCUUUAAUUUUCUUACUAAGAACUGUAGCUUUGUAAGACUUGAACACUUCUAGAGAUUGAGAUUUCUCACUUAUUAAAUGUAGGUAGCCAUAUCUUGAGUAGUCGUCUAUGAAUGUAAAAAAUAUUAUUGACCAUUCCAUGCUGGUGUAGAGAAUGGUCCGUAUGUAUUAGUUCUAUGACUUUUGUGCAUCUGUUGGCACCUUUUUUCUUUAUGUCUGUUGUCUUUUUCUUAAUGCACUCAAUACAAACUUGAAAGUUUAUUAAAUCAAGAGAAUCAAGAAUUUCAUUCGACGCAAGCCUCUGAAUUAUUUGUUUAGAUAUAUGAGCUAAAUGCUUAUGCUAUAGAGAAGUAGAAGUGUCAAUUAAUUUACGCUUUAUACUUUUUAAACUAGUGUCCAAGAUUUCAUUACAGAAAGAAAUAGUUUCCAACAUAUAAAGAGGAUCAAAUAAAAUACCAACAUCAAUAAAACUUUAAUUUAGAAAGAUAUUAAUUUUAUUAUUUCUAAAACCAUAAAAGUAUCUACAUUUGUCCAAAGAGGAAAUAUAAACUAAGUUUUGUUUAAGUAACGGAGCAACAAAAGUCUCAACUAAAUCCAAAUAACAGUCAGGAUUUAGAAAUAAUCUAAAAUGCCCUAUAGCUUCUAUAGGGACUUUAUUGACAUUGGCCAGAUAAAUGAAUCUUUCUGCAUCAAUUGGUGGUCGGCUCUAGAGGCAGCCCUGGAUAGACACACUUAUGUAAAUAGUAACAUCAGAAUCUAACCACCAAGUGUAUAUAGGUAUAGAAGCCAAAUUAGCUUCAGAGAAAAUAAAAGCGAGAACUUUACCCUUCUUUUUACACCAGGUGGCGUAUUUGGAACACUCUCUCUUCAUAUGUCCUUUAUAGGAAAAAUAAGUAAAUUCAUCACUUUGCUUCUUCGCCUUUUUCUGUAAAGGUGUUCCAGUUGCAGUAUCCUUAUCCCUAUUUUUUUUGUUAUUUUGAGAGGUUUGAUGCUUAAUGAGCACUUUCAGUCUUAUCCCUCUGGAUUUUUUUCUCUUCUUGCACAUAUUGCGAAAUGAGAUUAAGAGUCCAUUUAUCCUUUUGAGUAUUAUAACUUAUAUUAAAUUACUGAAUUGUGUAGGAAGAAAAGUAAGAACUAAAUGUAUGAGUAAAUCUUCAUAUAUCUCUAACUUUAGUGCCUUUAGUUUUCCAGCAUGGUUUGAAAUUUCCAUAAUGUACUCCCUUAUGUUCCCUUUUCCCUUAUACCUCAUAGAAAUCAGAGUAGCCAAAUGGUUACUUGUUUCUGAUUUAUCAUUCUUAGCAAAAUACUGUUGUAUUCCGACAAGGGAUUCCUUAUUAUGAUUUCUCUCAGAAAUAGAGCCCUAGAAUGCUUCCGGUAUGGAACGUUUCAUGAUCAUUAGACUCAUGCAAUUAAAAUGAUCCCACUUCUCAACUUUAGCCUCAUUUAAAGCAUUUUCAACUAAUUAAUCAGUCAUUUUAUCCUUAACGCAAGGUCUAAAUCCAUACAACCGAGAACGACUUCCAUAUUCUCUUUCUAGAAUUAAAGUUUGUCUCAUUUAGCAUAGGAAUGACACUGAUUUGAGCAUAAAAUUAUUUGUAAUUGUUAAAACUAAAUAGAGAAUAAGAAACAUCACACAAUUAACAAACAUGUCAUAAAAGUGACAAAACAAGAUAUCUACCACAACUUGACAUUCAGUGUUUGCACAAACAUAUCAAUUGUAAAUGGUACUAUUCACGCAAUAAUCAAAUAUUGAUAAUAAAUCCUAUCAAACAACAACCUUUCUUUGGACCGACUAUCAUUCACAUGGGCAACAACUGUAUAAUCAUUUAUAUUUAUCAUUGCAUGUUUUUUUAUUGUUUGGCCAAAUAUCAACCCUCCUUUGGGUUGAACAAUAUUCACAUAAACAAUGAAUACACAAAAUCUUUAUGUUUCAAAUUCAAUUAAUUUUACACAACAAUAGCUGCUUUGGUAACAUGUUGUUUCAAUUAACUUAAUUUGAAAUCUGAUACUAGCUAGUGUAUGUAAAACCAUAAAUCCUCAUAUUUGACAAAAUUCAAAAUUCUAAUAAUACUGCCGUACAACCUAAAUACAUAAAAAUUUCAUACAUACAUUAAAUAUUCAGAUAGAAUGAAUAUUACUGUCAAAACAAAAACUUAAAAAAAAUGAAUAUAAAAGGCCCCUAUAAUGCAAAUUGUUGAACUAAGGUGCAAUUGAUCUUUAUUUUAAUUAUAAUAACUAAAUUAAUUAUCACUAAUAUCAUGACUGAGUGUUUAUAUGACAGAACAUCAAAGGAACCAAGCCAAAUCUUAAACAUUCUUAAGCCUUGAAGCAAAUCUUAUGAAUUUACCUCAAAAGUGCAAGGGCGCUCCAAAGGUGCGAGAGCGCUUUUUAUAAGAUCAAAAGUUUGCAAGACGUUGAAAAGUCUACCUGACAGAAGCCCAAUCAUAUCAUGAAACUUUGCAGUUAAAGUGUCAAAGCUUGAAGGAGCGCGACGGCACUUCAGAAGCACGAGGGUGCCUCACUUUAAGUCUUGAGACAAUUUCUAGCAGACGAUAGCGUGACGAGAAGCGCGGGGGCGCUUCUGGGCACGAUCAAGGUAAGCGCAAGGACGAUAUUGUGGCACAGGGGCAAUUUUCAUAAUUAAUGCAAUGUUAAUAACCUUUGAGACGGCAGCCACCAUAUCAGUGCCACGUGGUUGGAGUCGUUGGAGUUCCAACGUCUCUUUCAAGAAAGCGCAAGCGCACUUAAGAAGUGCGGGGGGCGCUUUCCAUGACUUUAGGCAAUUUCUGCCAAGUCAUCAAAUAUUGCAUUGUAGGAGUUUUGGACCUAUUAUAGCAUCUCUAAAGGGUUGGUAUAAGUAUAAAUACCCCUCUUAAAGACACAAUAACUAAGUGCGUAUGUUAGUUAUACCAAAAUUCUUGUAAAUUCAUUUCUCAACUUCUUACACUCAUUUUCUUUCUUUGUAAAGUGUAUUAAAUUGAAAUCUUUAUUCAACUAAAACUUAGAAAGGAUUGUUGUGUGAGCUUAGGUAUUAAAAACACAAGGAAUUGGUUUAGUGUGAGCCUUAAAAACACUAAAUUGUGGAUGAGCUUGUAAAACCCAAGGUUGUAAUCAAAGUGAUUAUAGUAAAAUACUCAAGUGUGAUCUUGAGGAGUGGAUGUAGGGAUGUUUGUUCCCGAACCACUAUAAAUCCCUUUGUGUAGACUUCUCUAAUCUUUAAUCUCUUCACCUCUUCCUUAAUCCUUUGUGUUUUUACCUAAAACCUCUUAAUUCUGCAAUUUAAGGUCACCAAUUCAACCCCCCCUUCUUGGUUUCAAGGGACAAUAAGUGGUAUCAGACCUAAGUCACUCUUAUCAAGCUUAAUUACGAGUGUAAAGAUCAUGGCAACCAACAAAGAAGCCUAACACCUCAAGCCAUUCUUCGACAUAUCCGAUUACGCUUUUUGAAAAUUCCGUAUGGAAAUAUAUUUGGAUUCUUAUGGCAUUGAAGUGUGGGAUUAUGUAAUGAAAGAAUGGAAAGCUCCUACCAAAAUAAAGAAUAAGGAAGAAAGAAUUCUCCUUAGAGAAGAAUGGGUUGAUGCCCAUAAGAAGCACAACUACAAGAACAAGCAAGCAAUGGCUAUACUUGUGAGUUGUCUCUCUAGAGAAGAGUGUGGGAGAGUUCAACAUUGCACCAUGACUCAUCAAAUUUAGACUACCUUGAGCAACUACCAUGAAGGCACAAAACAAGUAAAAUUAAGGAAGAUCCAAAUGUACAUCACCGAGUACGAAAUGUUCAAGAUGAAGCCUAACGAGUCCAUCACCGACAUGAUAAAUAGACUUCUCACCAUCAUCAACAACAUGAGAAAGCUUGGAAAGCACUAUGAGCUAGUGGGCAUCAAUAACAAAAUCCUUAGGAGCCUUCCUUUGUACAAGUAUGGUGCUAGAGUGGCUAGCAUUGAAGAAGCAAAUGAAGACUUGAGGAAAAUUUCUACAGAUGUGCUUAUAGAUAAGCUUUUAACUCAUGAAAUGUCUGUAGGAAAAAUAAAGCCCUAGCUCUGAAAGCUAGCAUUAGAGCUCAAGAUGCAAUUGACAUUCCAAGUGAUGAUGAAGAACAAAGGGAAGCUCUAAGUGAGAGUGAUGAUGUGGCACUCAUCACUAAGCAUGUCAAGGGGAUACUUGAGGCAAAAAGAAAAAGAAGCAACAAGCCCUUCACAAGCAAAAAAACCUUCUCCAAAUCAAGAACAAGUAAGGACAAGAAUGAGGAAGUCACUUGCUACGAGUGUGGGAAGCAAGGACAUAUCAAACCGGAUUGUCCAAAGUACUUGAAGAGAAACAAAAGAGACAAAAAAAAGAAAAAGGGCUUGAAGGCCACUUGGAGUGAUGCAUCUUCAUUCUCCAACAAUGAAAAUGAAAGAGAAGAGGAGACAAAUCUUUGCUUCAUGGCCAACAUGGAAGAACCUCAAGAGGUAUGUUCCACUUCUCAUUCUUGUAAUUCUUUUUCUUCAUGUUCAUCUUCUAAUUCUUUUGGUGAUAAUUUGUUGGAUGAUGAGUAUGAGCUUUUACAAAACAUGCUUUCAAAAUUAAACUCUUAUAAAAAUAAAUGUUCUUGCUUGGAGGAAGACCUUAAAAUUUCAAAGAAGGAAAUUGCCUCCCUAAAAAGCUCCAAUGAUGGCCUAAAGAAGUUAUUGGAUGAUGUCUUAAGAGAAAAGCUUCUUAAAGAAAACAACUCUUUAGAAAAUGAAGUUGAAGAACUUAGAAACUCAAUUUUAAAAUUUCACAAAGAGAAGGAGUCUCUUGACACUCUAGUUGUAUCUCAAAGACCUCCCCUUGUGAGACAUGGACUUGAAUUCAAAGGCGCUUCAUCAUCCUCAUUUCAUAACACAAUCUUUAAGGCCACUCAGUCUCAAGCAUUAGAAAGAAACUUAAAUGGAGUUUCAAAAACCAAUACACACACUAGACCUCCCCUUCAAAAUAAAGGGAAAAGUACAUAUAUUCCCAAGGCUAAGCUAAGAGGAAUAAAGCAUGCAUUUAUAUAUAAGAACAUAAAUUUUGGUAAACCUUGUUCAUACAUGUGUGAUAAUAAUCAUAAGAGGUCCAAACCUCAAGCAAAAGUGGCUAAGAAGACCAAUUCGAACUCUAUUGAGAAUUCUAAGGCCACUUGCCACUAUCGCAUGAGAAUUGGACACAUCAAUGUAAAAUGCAAGAUAAGAAAAAUGCAUCCUUUCAUGAGUGAGUCUUUUAAUGCUAACCCCAAAAGACCCAACUUUGUUUAGGUACCUAAAACCAAGUGAAUUUGACUCCUUUCUAUAGUUGUCUCUUAAAUCUACAAGCACAAAUUUUUGGCAUGUUGAUAGUGGAUUUUCAAGGCACAUGACGGGUGACAAGUGUCUUUUCAUAAAUGUCAAGGACUAUAAAGGAGGCAAAGUAACUCUUGAAAAUUAUGACAAGGUUAAGGUAAUUAGCAUCAUAUCCAUUUGGGUGACAAGAGUCUUUUCAUAGAUGUUAAGGACUACAAAGGAGGCAAAGUAACUUUUGAAAAUGAUGUCAAGGUUAAGGUAAUUAGCAUCAUAUCCAUUUGGGUGAUAAGAGUCUUUUCAUAGAUGUCAAGGACUACAAAGGAGGAAAAAUAACUUUUGAAAAUGAUACCAAGGUUAAGGUAAUUAGCAUCAGAUCCAUUGGUAAGGAUGGUAAGUCAAUUGUAUGAUAAGGGGAACAAAGUCACUUUUAGCUCCAAUAGAUGCUUUGUCAAUUCCCUUAUAGAUGAUAAAGUGAUAUUCAAAGGAGAAAGAAGUGGCAACACAUACACAAUGGAUUUACACAAAGUUGGAUUUAGGGACAAGUUCAUAAAUUAGUGAUGAAUCUUGGCUAUAGCAUAAAAGACUUGGUCAUGCAAGCAUGGAACAUCUUCACAAAUUAGCCAAAGAGGAGCUAGUGAAUGGACUACUCAAAGUGAAGUUCAUCAAAGACAAGCCUUGUGAACCAUGCCAAAUAGGAAAACAACACCAAUCAUCCUUUAAAUCCAAAAUCAUUGUUAGUACUUCUAGACCACUCCAACUAUUACAUAUGGAUUUGUUUGGACCUACUAGAGUAGCUAGCUUGGGUGGAUAUGCAUUUGUAAUUGUUGAUGAUUACUCUAGAUUUGCUUGGGUUAAUUCCUUGCUCAUAAGAAUGAGGCAUUCAAUAUUUUUAUAUCUUUUAGGAAUCAUAUUCAAAAUGAAAAAGGAUAUUUGAUUUCCUCUAUAAGAAGUGAUCAUGGAUAGGAAUUUGAAAAUGAUCUGUUUAAAAAUCUCUGUCAAGAAUUUAGUAUUUCUCACAAUUUUUCCCCUCUUAGAACUCCCUAGCAAAAUGGAGUUAUGGAAAGAAGAAAUAGAAUACUAGUGGAAAUUGCUAGAACAAUGCUCAAUGAGUAUAAAAUUCCUUCAUAUUUUUGGGCCAAAGUCAUUAACACUAGUUGUUAUGUUGCUAAUAGAGUUUUCAAAAGACCCAUGCUAAAUAAAACAUCUUAUGAGCUUUGGAAAGGAAGAAAACCUAAGAUCUCAUAUUUUAGAGUUUUUGGUUGCAAAUGCUACAUUCUAUAACAAGGACAACCUUGGAAAAUUUGAUGCCAAAACUAAUAUAGGAAUUUUCCUAGGCUACUCCACCUCAAGCAAAGCUUAUAGAGUCUUUAACAAACGAACUUUAGUAGUUGAAGAGUCUAUGAAUGUUGUUUUUGAUACAUCAAACAAGCUUGAUCUUGGGAAAGGUAUUUGUCUGGAUGAUCUUGUCGGUGCAUUUGAGGAACUCAAGGUGAAUAUUGAUGAUCCCUCAAAACAAGUAAAUGAACAUAAGGAGAAAACUCAAAAAGACCAACACAACCAAGAUGCCAUUGAAGAUUCCCAAGAGAUGGAAAAUUCUCAAGACCUUCCAAAAGCUUGGAAUUUCAAAAAGGAUCAUCCCCCUACUUAAAUCAUUGGAGAUCUAUCAAAAGGUGUAAAUACUCAUUCUAAACUAGUAGCUUUAAAUGAUCUAGCUUUUGUUUCUCAAAUUGAACCAAUGACCAUUGAUGAGGCUCUAAAAGAUGAGAGUUGGGUGAUUGCUAUGCAAGAUGAACUCAACCAAUUAGAGAGAAAUAAAAUAUGGGAACUCAUCCCUAGACCCACAUAUAGUCAAGUUAUAGGUUGUAAAUGGGUCUUUAGGAACAAGCUAGAUGAGCAAGGCUCUAUCACUAGAAAUAAAGCUAGAUUGGUUGCAAAAGGUUACAGCCAAGAGAAAGGCAUUAACUAUGAUGAGACCUUUGCUCCGGUUGCUAGAUUAGAAGCUAUUAGGAUGCUCUUAGCAUAUGCAUGUCAAAUGAAUUUUAAACUUUUUCAAAUGGAUGUGAAAAGUGCUUUUUUAAAUGAUUUCAUUGAGGAAGUAUAUAUUGAGCAACCUCCCAGUUUUGAAGAUCAUAAAUUUCCAAAUCAUGUUUUUAAACUUUCUAAAGCCUUAUAUGGAUUAAAGCAAGCUCCUAGAGCUUGGUAUGAAAGGCUUAGUUCCUUUCUAAUUGAAAAUGGAUUCAAAAGGGCAAGGUUGGUACUACUCUUUUUGUAAAGAAAUAUCAUCAUGAUACUCUAAUUAUUCAAAUUUAUGUUGAUGACAUUGUAUUUGGUGCUACUAAUGAGUUGCUUUGUGAGGAUUUUGCUAAGCAUAUGACUAGGGAAUUUGAAAUGAGCAUAAUGGGGGAGCUCAAAUUCUUCUUUGGUUUUCAAAGUAAGCAAAGCAAAGAUGAAAUAUUCAUCAACCAAUCCAAGUACAGAAGAGAACUUCUAAAGAGAUUUGAAAUGGAUGGUCGCAAAGUAGCCAAGACCCCAAUGAGCGUCACAACUAAGUUCGACAAGGAUGAGAAGGGUAAGAGCGUAAAUGAAAAGCUCUAUAGAGGUAAUGAUCAAAUCACUUUUAUAUUUAACCACCUCUAGACCCGAUAUCAUGUAUAUUAUUUGCCUUUGUGUUAGAUUUCGAUAAUACCAAAAACAGUCUCAUUUAAAUGUUGUUAAAAGAAUUUUGAAAUAUUUAUGUGGAAUCUUGAACUUAGGACUUUGGUACCCUAGAGAAACUACCUUUGAUAUAAUAGGAUAUUUGGAUGCCGAUUAUGCUGGUAGUCUACUAGAUAGAAAGAGCACCUCCAGAACUUUCAAUUUUCUAGGUGAAUGCUUAGUGUCUUGGUUUAGCAAGAAACAAGUCCCGGUUGCUCUCUCCACCGUGGAAGCCGAAUAUGUGGCGGUGGGAUGUUGUUGUGCUCAAAUUACUUGGAUGAGGCAAUAACUAAGAGACUAUGAGAGAGAGGUUGAGCAUAUUCCUAUCAAAUGUGACAACAAUAGUGCUAUAAAUGUUUCUAAGAAUCCUAUUCAACACUCUAGGAAUAAACACAUAGAUAUUAGACACCACCUCUUGAGAGAUCAUGUUCAAAGUGGUACCAUAGUGCUAGAAUAUGUUGAUACAUCCAAACAACUAGCCGAUAUUUUCACUAAACCCCUAAAUGAGGAAAGAAUGAACUUCAUAAAAAGAGAAUUAAAAAUGAUAAAUGGUAGUUUAAUUCUUGAUAAUUUGUGCAAUUGAUUGAUUGUGAUACUUGUGAUUUUUUCGUUAUUGUGCAAGUGUUGAACAUUGAAAUCAUCUUAGCCCUAAAUUUCUUAAUCUUGACGCAUCUCAAUACUCAUAUAUACAAUAGUGUGAUCCAAGUAAAAGAAGCAUGCUCAUGCAUUCAUUAUAACAUCAUUUUUGUAAGAAAUUUUAAAAAGCACGCUCGCGCUUUAUAAGUCUUCAGGCAAUCUUGAAAAUGACCUUAAAAGCGCGUCCACGACCCUAAGCGUGACCACAGUUUCUUCAAAUUAUAGCCACUGUGAGUACUUUUUUCAAAAGCGGAACCGAGCUUUCCCUCGAUUUCAAUAAAAAACUAGCUGUUACAUAAUUUUUUAAAAUUAUUUUUAAUGCAAAACUAGCCAUUUUCCAUACCCCCUUAAGGCUAUAAUAGCCACAUUUUGCUCAUUUGCAUCAUUUUUCACAAUUAUUUCAAAAAAAAACUUCAAAAAUCCUUCUUUCUUUCUUUAAAAAUCCUACAAACUUUUCUUCCUACUCAUCAAGACAAGCAUGAAUCUAAGAAAGGGUGUUGGUAAAGCUCCUUCUCCUUAAAAUCCAUUAUUGAAAGGAUGAAAGGGGUAAAUGAAGAGGCAAGAAUCAAGUAUAUGACAAUAGAGAGGAAGGAAACCCAACAUAGCCGAUUUUUUUAUGAAGAAGCUCUAAUCAAACUUGGAAUAUCUUAAGAGGUACAUGAUCUUCUUAAUAACAUAAGACUUAGAGACUUCUUUCUUCCUCCUAGCCUAGAACUUGGCUUUGAGAACCUUACUAAGGAAUUUCUUUCCACCUUAGUAAUCAAUAACAAAGGAGAUGGGGAUGAAUAUUACGGGAUAGGAUUUAGGCUUUUUGGGGAGAAAAGAGCCCUUACAAGACCUCAAUUUUCGUCUAUCUUUGGGUUUCAAGAAAGAGGCCAUCUCUCAAUCAUUGAGAACCUUGUAGAGAUGCCUCUUUCUUUUUUCUAAUUUUGGAGACAAAUCUCCACCAAAGAGACCCACUCAAAAGACUCCCUCUCCAAGGAUCUUAAAUUCCUCACUCAUUGGGUUGUUUAUAGGAUGAUCGCCACUAAUAUUCAUGCAAGAGAUAAUGGGGUUGAGAAAGUUCCCCAAAAGGAUCUCAUCUUCCUCUUUCCAAUGAUUCACAUUAAGCUAAUCAUAACCUCAAAAUUCUUUCUUUCUCACUUCUUUCACCUUGGCGAUACUUUUAAAGGUGCUAUCUUUAUUUUCUCACAUAUCACAAAGAUUGCUAAGUACUUCCAAGCCAUUACUCCUUUCAUCAAAACCUAUCUAACUCCUCUUAUCUCACCACUCUUGCUUGGUUUAUCCUUCCUAGAGCAUGCUAAGGUAAUUCGACUAGGUCCUAAGUAGGAAAUGGAUGGAAAAUUCUUUCUUCUUAUUGGAGAAUAUGUGGAUGAUCGAAAGAAUAGAAAGAAAGAUCAUAGAAUUCCUAGUGAGCCAACUCCUUCUUCCUUUCCUCCUAAAAUGUCUAUUUCUUUUGAGAACAAAGUCCUAAAGCAAAUGGAGAAGACUUUGAAUUACUUCCAUCAUUUGCAUGCGAACUUAGUGGAGAUACAAAAGGCACAUAAAAUCCCUCAUUGUCAUGUAUAGGAUUGGAAAGAAAAAGAGGAAGAAGAGGCUCCCAUUCCUCCAUGCCAAGCAAGCACUAAUGGUAAAGGAAAGGAGCUCAUGCUCUAUCAAGAGGAAGAAGAAGAAGAGGAAGAUGAGGAUGAGGACUGAUUUUUAAAUUUGCUUUUUAUUAUUUUCUACUGUCUUGCUUUUUCUCUUUUUAUUUUUUCCUCUCAUGCAUAUCUCUCAUCUUAUGAUCAUAUACAUGUAUAUUUUUUUAAUAAAAUCUCUCUUAUAUGUUUUCUAUCUUCUUGCCAAUUUAUAUCUCUUUUCCUUUUUAAUUUUUCCAAAAGGGGAGAGACAUCUAUGUCAAGGGGAGAUAUCUAGCAUCAAGGGGGAGAGUAAUUUAUGUUAAGGGGAGAAAAAUCUAUGAGUAGAAUUCUAAAGAGUGAUUAAUGAUUAAAGGGGGAGAGUUGAUUAACAAUUAACCUAAGUAAUUAAUUUUGUCUUAUAACAAAUUCAAAGGGCACUAAUGCAACUAUUGAGGGCAAGUAACAUUUAUUAGAAACCUUUAAAUAAAUUGUUCCUUGAGCUAUUAAAUAUUAAUUGUUGGUUAUUCAAUUGCAUAUAUACUUGAUCAAUUUUGAAUUUCCAAUCAAUUUGGUUGUCAAAAUUAAAAAGGGGGAGAUUGUUGACCUAAAGUGCAAUAGAUUUCCAUUUUGAUUCUAACAACUAAAUUAAUUAUCACUAAUAUCAUGACUGAGUGUCUAUAUGAUAGAGUAUCAAAGGAAUCAUUAGAGUUAAAUAGACAGGAGGCUUUUAUGAUCCAUGCGAAUGCAAUACAAUGCAAGAAGGACAAAGUAAGAGUAGGGCUACUACACGUGAUCCCUUAGGUCAGCAGCUAAGACUCUUCUGCUAUCAAAUUAAAGAGGAGAGGACCACUCCUUGCUGAGAAAUUCUAUAUGCAAAAGAAUUCUCUCAUUUAUUAACUUCACAUGCAUUUGCAUUCCACAAAAACCCUAUCUCUCUCUGCAAACUUCUGUUCGAGUUGAUGUCAUUUACAUCCACCGCAGGAUGCUCCCAUCUAUAAAAUUAAGGGGAAAGAAAUCUAUAAGUAGAAUUCUAAAGAGUGAUUAAUGAUUAAAGGGGGAGAGUUGAUUAACAAUUAACCUAAGUAAUUAAUUUUGUCUUAUAACAAAUUCAAAGGGCACUAAUGCAACUAUUGAGGGCAAGUAACAUUUAUUAGAAACCUUUAAAUAAAUUGUUCCUUGAGCUAUUAAAUAUUAAUUGUUGGUUAUUCAAUUGCAUAUAUACUUGAUCAAUUUUGAAUUUCCAAUCAAUUUGGUUGUCAAAAUUAAAAAGGGGGAGAUUCUUGACCUAAAGUGCAAUAUAUUUCCAUUUUGAUUCUAACAACUAAAUUAAUUAUCACUAAUAUUAUGACUGAGUGUCUAUAUGAUAGAGCAUCAAAGGAAUCAUUAGAGUUAAAUAGACAGGAGGCUUUUAUGAUCCAUGCGAAUGCAAUGCAAUGCAAGAAGGACAAAGUAAGAGUAGGGCUACUACACGUGAUCCCUUAGGUCAGCAGCUAAGACUCUUCUGCUGUCAAAUUAAAGAGGAGAGGACCACUCCUUGCUGAGAAAUUCUAUAUGCAAAAGAAUUCUCUCAUUUAUUAACUUCACAUGCAUUUGCAUUCCACAAAAACCCUAUCUCUCUCUGCAAACUUCUGUUCGAGUUGAUGUCAUUUACAUCCACCGCAGGAUGCUCCCAUCUGUAAAAUUAAGGGGAGAGAAAUCUAUAAGUAGAAUUCUAAAGAGUGAUUAAUGAUUAGAGGGGGAGAGUUGAUUAACAAUUAACCUAAGUAAUUAAUUUUGUCUUAUAACAAAUUCAAAGGUCACUAAUGCAACUAUUGAGGGCAAGUAACAUUUAUUAGAAACCUUUAAAUAAAUUGUUCCUUGAGCUAUUAAAUAUUAAUUGUUGGUUAUUCAAUUGCAUAUAUACUUGAUCAAUUUUGAAUUUCCAAUCAAUUUAGUUGUCAAAAUUAAAAAAGGGGAGAUUGUUGACCUAAAGUGCAAUAGAUUUCCAUUUUGAUUCUAACAACUAAAUUAAUUAUCACUAAUAUCAUGACUGAGUGUCUAUAUGAUAGAGCAUCAAAGGAAUCAUUAGAGUUAAAUAGACAUGAGGCUUUUAUGAUCCAUGCGAAUGCAAUGCAAUGCAAGAAGGACAAAGUAAGAGUAGGGCUACUACACGUGAUCCCUUAGGUCAGCAGCUAAGACUCUUCUGUUGUCAAAUUAAAGAGGAGAGGACCACUCCUUGCUGAGAAAUUCUAUAUGUAAAAGAAUUCUCUCAUUUAUUAACUUCACAUGCAUUUGCAUUCCACAAAAACCCUAUCUUUCUCUGCAAACUUCUGUUCGAGUUGAUGUCAUUUACAUCCACCGUAGGAUGCUCCCAUCUGUAAAAUUAAGGGGAGAGAAAUCUAUAAGUAGAAUUCUAAAGAGUGAUUAAUGAUUAGAGGGGGAGAGUUGAUUAACAAUUAACCUAAGUAAUUAAUUUUGUCUCAUAACAAAUUCAAAGGGGCACUAAUGCAACUAUUGAGGGUGAGUAGCAUUUAUUAGAAACCUUUAAAUAAAUUGUUCCUUGAGCUAUUAAAUAUUAAUUAUUGGUUAUUCAAUUGCAUAUAUACUUGAUCAAUUUUAAAUUUCCAAUCAAUUUGGUUGUCAAAAUUAAAAAGGAGAAGAUUGUUGACCUAAGGUACAAUUGAUCUCUAUUUUGAUUCUAACAACUAAAUUAAUUAUCACUAACAUCAUGACUGAGUGUCUAUAUGAUAGAGCAUCAAAGGAACCAAGCCAAAUCCCAAACAUUCUUGAGCCUUGAAGUAAAUCUUGUGAAUUUACCUCAAAAGCGCGAGGGCACUCUAAAAGCACAUUAGCGCUUUUUAUAAGAUCAAAAGUUUGCAAGACGUUGAAAAGUCCAUCUGACAGAAGCCCAAUCAUUUCAUGACACUUGGCAGUCAAAGUGUCAAAGCUUUGAAGGAGCGUAGGGGCGCCUCACUUUAAGUGUUGCAACAAUUUCUGGUAGACGAUAAAGUGAUGAAAAGCAUGGGGGCGCUUCUAGGCGCAAUCAAGGCAAGUGCUAGGGUGAUUUUCACAGUUAAUGCAAUGUCAAUAACCGUUGAGACGACAGCCACCUUAUCGGUGCCAUGUGGCUGGAGCCGUUGAAGUUCCAACGUCCCUUUCAAAAAGCGCGGGGGUGCUUUCUAUGACUUUGGGCAAUUUUUUCCAAGUCAUCAGAUAUUGCAUUGUAGGAGUUUUGGACCUAUUAUAACAUCUCUAAAGGGUUGGUAUAAGCAUAAAUACCCCUCUUAAAGACACAAUAACUAAGUGUGUGUGUUAGUUAUACCAAAACUCUUGCAAAUUCAUUUCUCAACUUCUUAUACUCAUUUUCUUUCUUUUUAAAGUGUAUUAAAUUGAAAUCUUUAUUCAACUAAACUUAGAAAGGGUUUUUGUGUGAGCCUAGGUAUUAAAAAUACAAGAAAUUAGUUGUUGAGUAGCCAUUAAUGCUCAGGAGUUAAAAGACUUAGUGAGAGUUUGAUACACUAAGAGAAGAGGUUAAAUGUGAGCCUUGAAAACACCAAGUUGUGGGUGAACUUGUAAAACCCAAGAUUAUAAUCAGUGAAAUACUCAAUUGUGAUCUUGAAGAGUGGAUGUAGGGAGAUUUGUUCCCCAACCAUUAUAAAUCCCUUUGUGUAGACUUCUCUAACCCUUAAUCUCUUCAUCUCUUCCUUAAUCCUUAGUUUUUUUUACCUAAAAUCUCUUAAUUCCACAAUUUAAGGUCAUCAAUUCAAUUUUCCUUCUUGGUUCCAAGGGAAAACACAAAUCAAAUUCAAUUAUGUGAAAGAACCAAAUUUUAAUCCUUAUAAUUUAACAUGAUAGGAGCUCUAAUACCACUUGUUAGACUUUAUUAUCUAUAAUAAUGAUUAAUGAAUAAUCCAUGAAAAUAGAUACAAAUCAUAGAUAUCAAAAUCCAUGUUGAUCAUCAAAUCCUAGCAUCCAAAACUAUUAUAUGCCAUAAUUAUUAAGAAAGUUUAGCCAUAAAUAUCUCUCCCAUUAUAGUAAUCAAAUUUUUUGCGAAAUGAAUGAUGAACGAGUGUUUUAAUCAACAAGUAUGGCUUUCCUCAGUCGAAUCUCUGAAUUCUUUAAGAUUUCUUGCCUUUUAUCUCUGAUGGAUAGAGAAUAAGAGUUGCUAUAUGAUUUGACAUAUUGGGAACUAUAACCUAGGAGUCUUUGUAUACUAACCUAAUAGGAUCCUAUUAAGCCUAUAUGAGUUAGAAAACGAUAUCCACCCAUUAUAUCUAUACCAAAAUUUAGAAGUCUAUAGGCUCUAUAUAAAUAAAUCACUUUAAUAAGCUGACUAAUAAAUUAGCUAACCAUACAUAAUAGAGAUUAAAAAACCUAAUACUUCUUUCAAGGGUUCCUCUCCUUCCAUGAAUCCUUAUUUUUUUAUAUUUUUCUUUAGGGAAAAUAACUAUUACCCCGUGAGGAUUGACAUAAUUUAUAAGUCCAACCAUGUAUUUUUAAAAGUGAAUUAAUAAUCUCUUAACAUUUGCUUUUGUCAACUAUUACCCCCUCUGUAUAUUUUUCUGUCAAUCAAUUCGGUCAAAGGACUUAAUUUAUAACAAAAAAAUUCAAUUUACUUUGUAAAUUUGAUACUAAAUUCAUCUAAAUUAAAUUUUUGUCAAACUUGAAUAAAAAUAAAUUUAAUUUUAGAAUAAUUCCAUCUUAGUUUUAAUAAACAAUAAUUAAAUUAAUAUUUUAAACUCUAGUUGCUAAGUAAAACUCCCUAAACCUUAAUUUGGUGUUUAAAAAAUAAUUUUUUUUUCUUUUUCUCCCCACUUUAUUGUUUAAUUCAUUUUUUUCUCACUUUGUUUCUUAUAAUUAUUUUCUUAGUAAAAAAUACAAUUAAACAAAAAAAGAAAACACUAAUUAUUACAAAAAUAAAAUUACAUCAUUCUGUAAAAUGAUAAACCAAAUAACGUUGUUCGAUCAUCAACAAUAACCUUUUUUAGUCUCCGUCACUAGUCUUGUUAGAUUUAGGUAGAUUUGAUUUUUUAGUUGUAAUUAAAUUGAAGAACUUAAAAAAAUAAAUCUUAAUUGUUUCUUCUAGAAACAAAAAUUAAAUCAUUUUAAAAAUAAACUUAAUUGAUAAAAAUUAAAAUUUGGACGAAAUUGAUCCUUAAUAAUAAGUUUAAGGACUAAAUUGAAAGUUUUAGUUAUCAAUUAAGUCCUUUAACUGAAUUGACUAACAGGAGAAAAAAAGACGAAAAAGAGGUAAAUAGUUGACGGAAAUAAAAGUUAAAAGGUUGUUAACUCACUUUUAAAAAUGUAGGGUUGGACUUGUAAAUUAUAGUAUUAUUCAAGGGGUAAUAGUAAUUUUUCCUAUUCAUUAUAUCAUUUUUAUUCACUUCUCAUUCUUCUUUCUCUGUUCAUAUUUUGAGCUUUCUGCUUAUAUCACUGUCUUUACUAUAAUACGAUUUCACUUCCAAAACCUACACCAAUGAGAUAUUUGAUUGUCGUUUCGACUUUUAUUUUUUAUUUUUUAGAAGAUAUGGCCAAUAAAAAUGAGACAUCUUCCUUAUCUCCUUCCUCUCCUGCCUCUACAAAGGAAACAACUGAACAAAUAGACACAGUAGAAAAUAAUCCUGACACCAACAAUCACCAUUUACAUUAGGUUUUUGCAAACUCUUAGAUUUAGGUAUAAGAUUCCAGAGGAAUAUGAAUUACAGGACUGCAUAGAAUAUUUUUAGGAAAUAGUAUACCUAAAAGAAUUACAUAGUAAUUUAUAAAGAACAUCGAGGGCAAGCCUUAGAUUCCCUUGUGAACCCUUCACCAAAGCCAUUAUGAUGUGCAUGAAUAUCUCCAUUGGUCAACUUCAUCCUCUUAUUGUUGAACUUAUAUUCGCCUUUAAUGAAUUUUAUAAACAUUUUAACAUAUUGCAUACUCCUUACUUCUUUAUUAAUAUUUAUAUUACUACUAGAGCCUCUCAACACGCAUUUAUUUACCUUUAUGCUCGUAAUGGCCAUUAAAUUCUGGAUGGUCUACUUCCUCUGUUAAGGAUUAGCGAGAGUGGUACUUUUUAGUCGCCCAUCCUAUUGAGUUCACCGAUAUCCUGCGAAGGUGGCAUGUCCCUCCUCUUCAAAAAAGACAAAGCUUACCUUGAAGGAUGACCUAAUGAAUAGGAGACACAUACUGAGUGUUAAAAAGAAAGGAGUACCUUUAAUGUACUUCCCUUAUUAGCCUAACUUACUAGCAUAAUUGCUCUAUCCGAACAAGAAAGUGAGGAAGGCGUCGACUCUUUAGGUAUGCUUACUCAUCUUUCUUAUUUGAUGUUUCUUAUAUUCAUACUUAAAUAUAUCUUAUUUUCUUAAUAUUAUAUUUUGGUUACAGAUUUGAAGUAAUAAAAAUAAAUUAAAGCUAAUAACGAAAUGAAAUCGCCUAACGACCAAUAUCCCAAACUACAAUUAUGAGCAAGAUAACUGGUGAAGAGAGCUCACAAAAAGACUCCAUUCCCCAUUGAUCAUUCUCCUGAGGGCUUUGAAAAUCCCAAAGUCAUCAUGGAUGUCCUUUAGCCACCUUCUCCAACAAACACAAGACAUUAUCUUCUAAAUGAGGAUGACUCUCUUAGGAUGUGGAUCUUCCUCAUGGUCUUACUCAGUGUCGUAAUUCUCACCCUUUCCUAAAGAGGAAAUACCAAUAUGCUCAAAUAUUCCAAACACCACCUUUUACUAGGGAACGUGCACAGUUGAUGAACUUUUCCUAUGAUCACUAGAGCUGUAAAACUACCAACCAAGGAUUUCCAUGGCCAACAAAUGUCUUUGCUACUUUUGAUAAAUUGUCUUCAAAAGAAUGUAACAUCAUAUAUUUCAUAUUCUAACCUUCUUUUGUAUUUCAAGCCAUCACUCUUGGGAAUGCUUGGAAAGAUUACGAGCAAAAGUUUUAGCGACCAGGCCUCAACCGUUUAGACUAAUGAAUCUAAAUUAUUUAUAGUUUAUUUUAAAUUUUUACAGCUUAUUUAGUAAAAUUAUAUUAAAUUAAUAAAAUUUAUAGUUCACUUAGACUUAAUUAUCACUUUUUAAGUAAUUCUGACUAAAAAUGAAGCUUAGGGUCAAAAUAGCAAAGGAGGAGUUCAGGGACCAAUGUGUAAAUUGCCAUACCAAGUAGCGCCACUAAGUGGAGUCCUCAUAACCUAGCAAGAAGGAUAACUAACUACAUGUCUAGCACACAUGCACAGGCCCGUAUAAAGUCACGAGAGGCCACGUUGUUAGCCUGUGCAACCUCGGGGCACCGUGUGAGCCAACACGAAUAGACAGAUGAUUUUUAGUUCUUUUUCUUACCUACUUUACAGGAGUUUUCAUAAUUUUGGACAUGUAAUUAGGGUUUAUAAAUGUUGUGCUAUAAUUAGUAUAGUUUUAGUAGAUAAAAACACAUGCAAAUCUUAAUAAUUUUAGUUUUAAUUUCCAUUAAAGAACAUCAUCAAUCUAGGUUCAUUCUCUCCUUUGGAUAAUGAUUUUUGGAGUGUAAAGAUCAAAGAUUAUCAACUCACUUCCUUUAAAGAUUUUCUUAUUCUAGAAGGAACUUUCAUUCCAUUCUUUAUGUUUAUGUCUAACUCUUUAAUUUACGUAAUCAUAGAAUUAAAGAUGCUAGGCUAAACUUUUCAUUAGGUAUUUAGUUAGCUAUUCUAUUUUAUAUGAACUUUAUUAGGUCUUUUGAUUAAUAGAUGAAUAUCAUUUCAAUAUUAUUUUAUUAACUUCAAUAAUUAAUUAUUGUAUCGUCAACAAUAUUAACGAUUAAAAAAAGAUGGUUGAGGUUAAAUCAUUAGAACAUCAUAUGUGUUUUAACUUAAUAUUGGAAUAAACUUUAAUUAUAUCAUUGGUUUGAAUAAUUAAGACAAAGGAACAUCACUAUUUCGUCUAUAUUUCUGUUCUUAAUUAAUUAGAGAAGGGUAAUGCAAAAUAGAUAAUAGUGGAGAAAAAUAUUAUAUCACCUUUAUUGAUGAUAGUAGUUUCAACGUCGCUUACAGCUGGAUCAACAACAACAGGAGGAUUAGCUACCGCAGGAGCUACUAAGGCAAUUAGGGCGACAGGCAAGGCUUGAUUUGAAGCCAUCCAAGCCAAAAAUUAUUGGAGCUCCUCCGAAAUCACACCCCUCAGAUCAUCAAUGACAACAUUUUUGAAGAUCUCAGCAUCCUGCUCAUUAGCUCUUUAAUUGGCCAUUUUCGAUUUAGCUUCAGUCUCGCUAAUAGAAGCUUGAUUUCUUGGUCUUUCAAGAAGCUUUAGCACGAUUCGGAUUCUUGGUGAGAUGGGUAUUUUCUCCAGUCUUCCACUGUCUUGUGAUAGGCUAUUUGUGUAGCUACAAUCUAAGGCAGUGAACCUAUCGAUGCAGUCUAGCACUAAUGGCGAGUAUCAAGGUCGUAUCUGUAACACCCUUAGUUGUAAUAAUAAUAAUUUUAUAUAUAUAUAAAAAAAAAAAAAAAAAAAAAACUCUCUCUUUUUCCCCUCCCCCUCCUCCUUUUCCUUCCUCCCUUCCUUCUCCCUCUCCCCGUCGACUGUCUUCUUCCCCGCACCGCCUACGUGCCGCCCAGCUCGCCGCCGCCGUCGCCAGCGCCUUCCUCCCUUCCCGCCGCUCUGCAGCAGCUCCCUUCCCCUUUCCUCCUUUCCGUCGGCGUUGUCAAGAACAAGGGGGGGCUGCCUUCGCCGCUCGCCCUCUUGCCGGCGUGUUUUCGGAGAUCUGGCAUCGGAAACGAGUUCCUCACCCCCGAAAACCCCGGAAGCAACCCUCCUCCGUCGGAAAAUCCUUGCCGGCAGCCUUGGAAAGUGUCGCGUGAGCAGCGACUUUCCGGCCCCGAUCCGCCGCCUUCCGGCCACUUUCCGGCCAAAACUCUUGUACUUCCGGACUCCCCGCAACUUGAGCUUCGCGUAGGCGCUUCCAGAUUUGAAUUCCGACACUGUUGGCAGGACCGGCUUCCGGACCCCAGUGUUUUCUGGACGCGCGGAAUAUUUUAAUUUUUAACUCGGUAUAAUUUUAUUAGACUCUGAAAAAUUUUGUUAUAAUAUUAGAAAGUUAUUGUGGCUAUUAAUUGCUUGUGUUGGGUAGUUUAAAAAAUAAAUCAAAUUAAAUUGUUUGGGUUGUGGUGUUUUGGAGUCGGGAAAAUAUUAGUGCAGUUCUUGUGGCCCGGCUCCUGUUAUUAAAUUCCAGCAUGUCUGAUAUGUUUUUGGCAGGUCCUGGACCCGUUUUACGGGGGGUAAAUAUCCGUAAUUUAAGGGAGGUUCUGUCAAAUUUUCGGCAGAAUCCUCGAGUCCAAUUUAAUUCUAGGCAGUCGACCUUAGGGUCUAAGUUUAGGAAAAUUUUUCGAAUGUCUAUUAAUUGUAUGUCUUUUGUUAUUAGAUAAUUCAGCCUUCCCGCCAGCUCCACCCGAGGCGUAGGAGCGGACUGCGGAACGCGUUAGAUCAGUGAGUUAAAGUCAUUUAAUCAUUGCACUAUUGCUAAGUCUGAUUUAAUAUGCUAUUUUGAAAGUUCAUGCAUAAUAUGAUUAUUAGUAUCGCAAAAUAAAUGAUUUCACUUGAUUAUUAAUAUUUGAAGUAAUAUAAAUAUUAUUAUUAGUAUGUUAUAAUAAGAUAAACGUUAUUAUUUUUCCCUCACAAAUUUCACGUUGUUUUACCUUAAAUCUUUAAUCUUUAUUUCGAUAUGUGUUGGUUGAGUUCAUCAGAUAAUAAUAUUUAUUAUAUGUGAUGAUUGCAAAUUGGGAAAUGUGGCUUGUAGAACAUGCCGCCUGAUGGGUUACAUCAGGACCGCGUGCGCACCGGUAAUGAUCAUGGAUAUAAGGUUAUUAUGAAUUUGUCUGCCCUGAUUGAGCUUGCUCUCUGGGCUGAGUUCAGUUGAUUGCCGGAGUUAAGGUCCCUGAUCGAGUAAUGCUCUCUGGGCGCCGGCUUAUUUGGAAUUCAAGUGUUCAGGCUGGAAGUAAGGACCCUGAUCGAGCUUGCUCUCUGGGCGCCAGACCUGUUGGAUUAAGAGAGCCGAAAGGCUACUAGAAUUUGGGGUUUAGGGUUCUACCGAGCCACUCGUCCCGAAUAGAAAAGAAACAAAGAUAUUUUUUAUUUAUUUAUUUAUUUACUUAUUUAUUUCAUUAUGGUAUGAUGACAUCAUGAUUUCUGUUUAUGUUCAGGGUUUGAUAUAUGGAUUCGAAUAAUUAAUAUUUCCUGUGAAGACUGCAAUAGUCUCUGGAUUAUUUGAUUUUAUCUCACUCUCGAGACUGACAGUCUCAGUUGUAAUUUUUUUUCAGGUGAUAGUUAAAGACCUUCGCCAUCGCACAUUCGACAGUCCGACUUCUUCUUCUUCGGACUUUUGUAAUUAUCUUGUACUUAUAUACUUGUCAUUUUUACUCUAGAGUAUCCGCAGUAGGAAAUUUUAAAAUUUAUAUAACUAUUCUGACUCCUGUUGGUAGUAUGAUGAUGUAUUAUGCAAGAUAAUUAUGACUACUUUAUAUUUGGUUAAUUGUAUAUAUGGAUUUGCGGGUUGGUAAGGCUUACUACGAGUUUCGGUGGCCUUAAGCCUACCCAUUCCCUAGUGCCGGUCACGGGCCCCCAAAGUGGGUCGUGACAGUAUCCCUCGGGAAAAUGAAAGCCUAGAGUUACUACUUUGUUAUCUGUUAUAUUAGCCUAAAAUGAAUGUUGAAUAAUUUCUAAAUUUAAAAUUAACUAUAAGCUGAGUUCUAAGUGAGAUGCAGGAAUGAAUGAAUAAAUUAAACAACCAAGACAAGAAAGUAAACCCAAAGGAAACCUAAACUAGUUGGCAAUCAAACAAAAGAUAACAGAUUGAUAAGUCCAAUUACGCUACCCGUGGACGAAUUCUUAACUGAAUUCGGUUUAUCUCUUCAGAUAAUCGAAUUCCUAAACCUAAUAACCUAAAGUUGGAAUCUCUUCCUAAUGAUCGAUUAUUCGAUUAGCAUUAAGCUUUAAUCUGCCUCUAUUAAGCUUUGUUAAUUCUUAAUCUGGCUAGUUAAUUAUCCUUAUCUCUAAGUGAUUAUUAACUAGUUCUUGCUAUUCGAAUUUCCAAUUACUAAAUGAAUUUCUUAAUCACACAAAGCAAUCUAAACACCACAAUUCAUAACGUCUCAUGAAUAAUGUAUUAUCUUAUUGAUACUAAAAGCAAGAAGGAUACAAAACUAAACUCAAACAAUCUAACAAUUUAAUACUAAGCCAACAUAGUAAAGAAAUCCCAAUGGAUUUAAUUGAUCUAGCUACUCAUGUUCAUGUUUAAAACAACUAGGAAAUCAGUUAUAAUGAAAGAAUAACAAAAAUGAAACUUAUACACCAUUUUCUCUUGAAUUGGAUGAACAGCUCUAAAUCUGAAUCAGUACUAUGAUUGAUCUCCCCAAUUGCCUCUCGAUUUACUCCACUACUGUUUUGCACUCGGGACCUUGCAAUUCCGGGAUUCUCCCUCUCUGCAACUCUCUUGCGAACUCAGUAUUCUGCAAAAACCGAACCAGCAGCCAAAUCUCUCUCUCUGCCCUCGCUAACCCUAGCUCAAGAAAUCAUUUUACUUAUAUAAUUAUCCCAGCACGACUGGAGUUCAGGCCGUGCUGAACCUUCGAAUCUUCACAAAUUAGGUCUUCUUCUUGGCCGUGCCCUUGCCGGUGCUGAGCCACCACAGGCCGUGCUAGAGGCCGUGAUAGCCUCGGAAACCAUGCCAGAACACCACAUUUGAGGAUCAAAGGCUAAUGGGUUAAGCACGGCCUUGACCUAGACUGUGCUCAAUGUUUGAAAUGCGAGCCCUCAUCCAAUUUUGAUGAAUUCCAGUCCGUUUUCGCAUGUAUUGAUCUAAAAUUGCUCAAACACUGAUGAUGGACCUAUAAAUUCUCCUAAAAUGCAAAAGAACACAAAACACGGGUGAUCUUGGAAUAAAAGCACAAUAAUUAAUAAGAAAAUACACAAGAAUGUGCAAGCAAAUAUGUGUAAAACUAUGCACAUCAUCUUGCCUCUUCUAACCCAAAUGAGACUCUAUAUAGCUAAAAAUAAGGUGUUAGUAAGAUGCAUGUGAUAUGCACACAGACAAGGAAAAGAGUUAGCAAACGCAAAAUAUAUUACUAUACAAAGUAUCCUUCUAACCUUAUUUCUCUUGCACACGGUUCAUGAUGAGUGUUCCUUCCUAGGAUUUUUGGGUUUGGGCUUUCUAUCAAUAAGGGAUAGUAGGCCCGGCACGCAUGCCAUAAACUCUCAAAGCAGAUUUACAACAGACAAGGCGAUGUUUUUCAAUAUAAAUAUAAAGCCUGCAUAUUUUGGGUCUGGGGCUUGAUUCCACAUGUUCUUUUGGGCCAAGGCUUUCCAAUAUGUGAUCUUAAGUACUUAUAAGGAAAAAUAUCUCAAAUAGAAAGCAAUAUGGUUCCUAGGGAAGACUGUUACUAUCUUUACCGUGACCUGAGUCUUGGGUAAGGAUAAAAGGUCCCCACGGGUAGAAAAUGUUCUUCCUUGGCUCGUCUCCUCACUCAAGAGUCCAUACGACGAAGGAAAUUCACUCAUUACUUGUGAGUGAUGGUUAGCCAGUGUUGCAAUUUCAAAGUUUCGAGUGGAACUAAAGAACCACUAACCGAUACCAUCAGGGCUAUUGGACCAAAAAGUAACCAUGCAAAUUAUGCAAGAAAUUACCUGUUAAAUAAUAAAAUUAAAGAUAAAAAUACACUAGAAUCGGCUUCUCUUAUCGCUAGUGGAGUCGCCAUUUUAGGCGGUGGUUUCAAGCGCAUAACCAAGUAUCUCUAACGACUACAGGACUGUGAGGCUUUUCAACCUAAUAGAAACACACUAACUAAUCAAAGAGACUAGCGCAGAGAUGGGAGUCGUCACCUGGGUAAUUCUCGAGGAAAUAUUUCCUAAUUGAGUGGCAUUUCUUGACUCCAUAAAAAAGUUUCGCCACAUCUAGAGAUGGAUCCAAAAGCCAAAUUUCUUAUUUGUGUAUCUUAGUCUUUAGUUUUAUUGUUUAAUAGACUAUUCCCUAUAAAUGAGACGAUUUAUAUGUUACAAGCAUCCAUUACAGCAUAUGAGAUUCUCUAAAGUCUAGACCAUUUUUAUUAAGCCCAGCUCAUAUUUGAUUUGUUGGCCUAUUUAACUAAUUUUAAUUUAAAGUCUAAUUUUAAUUUAAAGUUUAUAUGUCCAGUCUUAAUUAGGCAAUCACAUUAUAAAUAUUUGGUAUCCAUCAAACAUAAAAUAAAAAUGAAAUGUAGAAAAAUAAAUCUAACUAUUACAACCCUUAUACAACUAAAAUGUGAAAGAAAAAUGCUUAAAACUAAGUUACAGUACAUAAAAUAUCACAAAAAUCUAAUAAAAUCCAAAAAUUAAGGCAAAAUGGUGCAAAGCCGAUCGACUCUAAGGCUUGGAUUGUUCGGUUUUGCGACUUAUCUUCGAAUUUGCACACUAAGGAGCCGAUUUCACAUGCACAAAAGACAAAAAAGUAAACUUAAACAUAAAAAAAGUCAUAAAAAAAUAUCACUCAAGUGAGAAAGUCUAAAAAUCAUGCAAACCCUAAAAAGUAAAACAAACAGCCAGUAAAUAAGAUAUUCCCUGGCAGAUUCUAGAUUUUAAUCAUGUAACUCUAAAAAUCUAAUUCAAUUACAUAAUUAUAAGAAAAACACAAAUCAAUCAUCCCUAGCCAUUUAACUAAUCAGAUCCGAAAUCCAAUGAAAAAUAUAUUAUCAUAUUCAAAAUUCUACAUGUUCAUAUUAUCAAAUUCAAACCCAGCAUACUAGAAACAUGGUAAUUCAUAAGAAACCCUAAUCUAAUCAUAUAAAAAAAUAAAAAAAAUCUAAUCAUAUUUCUAGAAUAAAAAAAAAACAAAAGAACAGUAAAAAGGAAAGAGAUGUUUAUGAUGUUGGACGUGGGGGAACCCUCAGGUUGUCACCGUAGAUGGUUGUUAUGCGAGUCUUUGGAGAUGAUGAGGCUGUUGAAUUAAAUAUCAAUUGAGAAUCCAAUGCUACUUAGUUUUUGAGAAAUCUUUUGUCGUUUUAAAAAAUACUUUCCUAAUCUAAGGUUCUUUCUUUGGUGACUUAUAUCUAGUUACCAAAAAAAAUUUAUGUUUAAAAUGAACACAUGAUUUUUUAGUGUUCAACUCAGAACUACUAAUAAUUAUUGAGAAUUGGUAAUAAUUGUUAAUCCUAAAAUUAGAUCAUCUGAACUUGUAAAAAUUGUCAUUUUAUCCCUCAAAUUUAAUAUUUUUUGCCAAUUUGAUCCAAAUUGAUUCUAGAAAAGUAAUUUUAGUUCAAUUAUUCUUAAUUCUAACUUGAUUUUGUCUGUCCUCAAUCUUCCGAGAUUUGAAAAAGACAGUAAUUUUAUUCUCUCGAUAUCUGAAUUUGAAAAAUAGAUGCUGAUAUAUAUUUUGUUACUAAAAAUGAAUCAACAUACAUCAAUCAUUAAUUGGUUUGAUACAUAAAUGAAAACAUAAAAUUGAUAUCUAAUGUUGGAAUAAAAAAAUACCAUAUAGUUUUACUAUUUUAGAGUUUUUAAUAUUCUCUUUUUCAAAUAAAAAAAUAUGUGAUUAUAAUCAUGAUAAAAUAUAUAUCUUAAUAUUAAAAAAUUUCAAUUUUUAAAAAAAAUAGUUUUUUUUUUU
rnacentral:lncRNA from 1 species